UACGGGGGGGGCAAGCGUUGUUCGGAAUUACUGGGCGUAAAGGGCUCGUAGGUGGCCAACUAAGUCAGACGUGAAAUCCCUCGGCUUAACCGGGGAACUGCGUCUGAUACUGGGUGGCUUGAGUUUGGGAGAGGGACGCGGAAUUCCAGGUGUAGCGGUGAAAUGCGUAGAUAUCUGGAGGAACACCGGUGGCGAAGGCGGCGUCCUGGACCAACACUGACACUGAGGAGCGAAAGCCAGGGGAGCAAACGGG
rnacentral:rRNA from 1 species